rnacentral:lncRNA from 1 species
AUGAAGUUMUCUCUGAUACACGUGUCUUAGAGAACUCUAUCUGUAUGCUGGGAAAAGCACAACUCAGAGCACAUUUUUCCUCCUAGGGACAGAGCUCCUAUCAAGUUCUAUGAAGGGAUAAAGGACUUUCCGAAGGCUCCA